AGACGAUUAGUUUAAUAAAAACCUUUGAUUUCGGCUCAAAUGCUUAUGGUUAAAGUCCAUAAUCGUCUU
rnacentral:tRNA from 1 species